CCCUCCCCCUCAGUGUGUGCCUGUCCUCCCACAGCCUGCUGGGGCUCAGAGACUGAUGGCGUCCCGACUCUCAGCUUCGACUGAGGCCGAGCAGACGUCCCAGUUCCAGGUUUCCGGGCCACACUCCUCCAACCACGGCCAUACCUUUCACACGAGAAACACAGAGAGGCUGGGAAUUCAGUGGACUUUGGGAUUCUGUAACCCGCACUGAUAAACUUGUGUUUAAUUUUCACCACGAGGAACCCUUGCAGUCUUCAGAGCCGUCCUUACCGCCGUGACAGUACAGCAGCCACGCCGGCUCCUCAGGGCUUCCCGCGGGUGGCCCUUCAUCCCGGUUCACUGCGGGUGACAGCCUGAUGAAGGAAGAGGUCCCCGCAGACCACGGGUGCUACGUACGCGCCCAGUUCCCAUUGGCAGGGAGCCCGAGCCCUGCCCUGGGGCCCAAGGGCGCGACCACACCCAUCCCCACAUCCCCACUUGGCGGGCCCCUCUUCUGAGACCACUCCCAGGUCCGACUCUGUAGCAGUCGGGCAGGAGGAGGAGACGAGAAAUAGACACGGUUUCUCAGCAGAUGAAAUCGAAUACGAGCAUUUGGUGGCUCAGGGCCCGGAGGGCUGAAGAAACAGAUCGUAUGGCAGAAAGCUGCCGUCCCUAAGGCGGGGGGAAGCGGGGAAGAGGUCGGGCUGAGCAGACACCUAGACGCCAGGAUGAGGGGCCUGGAAGAGGCAGAGCCUGGAUCGCUGAGGAGGGGCUGCCACAAUUUCUCAGGGAAGGCGGAAGCAUCCUUAUCCACCACGAGGGGAUAUGGGGCAGGAGAUGAUUUCUGAGGACCAUCUUCCAGGAACCUCUGUGUGCCCAACGCGGGGCUGGAACUCGCAACCCCGAGACACAGAGUUGCGUGCUCUAGCCAUUGAAGACUUGGGGAGGUGGAGUAGCUGUCUAUCACAAUAACGCAAACAACGCGUAGAUAUCCACGAGCGCCGCUCUCUGAUCUCCUGAGAAAUCAAAGGUAAUGCCAGUCUGGGUUUUGAAGUCCCCCCGCCCCGCCCCACCCCAGUUAAGCACAAGAGGGGAAGGCGGCUCUCUUUCUCACCCUGCCCCCUUUGCCGUGUGCUGGCCCGAGGAGGCUUCCGUGGGGGAUGGCCACCUGGGCUCACCUCUCAA